AAAAGGUCAAACUGUGGGUUCCUAUGCCAACGUUUGACUGUCCGUCUUAUAUAAAUUUUUUAUAAUUAUUAUUUUCAUUGUUGUUAGAUGAUAAAACAUGAUUAAUACUUUAUGCGUGACUUAUCUUUUUAUUUUUUUCAUAUAUUUUUUUAAAUAAGACGGAUGGUCAAAAGUUGGACACGGAAAUCAGGGUUUGUCUUUUU
rfam:Oryza glumipatula chromosome 5, whole genome shotgun sequence.